GGCGGCGCGCCUAACACAUGCAAGUCGAACGAGAAUCCGGGGCAACCUGGUAGUAAAGUGGCAAACGGGUGAGGAAUACAUGGGUAACCUGCCCUUGAGAAGGGAAUAACCCGCCGAAAGGUGAGCUAAUACCCUAUACGCUCCUUUUUCUACGGAAAGGGAAGGAAAGCUAAGCCGUGGGCUCGGCGCUCAAGGAGGGGCUCAUGUCCUAUCAGCUUGUUGGUGGGGUAACGGCCUACCAAGGCUACGACGGGUAGCUGGUCUGAGAGGAUGAUCAGCCACACUGGCACUGAGAUACGGGCCAGACUCCUACGGGAGGCAGCAGUGAGGAAUAUUGCGCAAUGGGCGAAAGCCUGACGCAGCGACGCCGCGUGGGGGAUGAAGGUUUUCGGAUUGUAAACCCCUUUCAUGAGGAAAGAUAAAGUGGGUAACCACUUAGACGGUACCUCAAGAAGAAGCCACGGCUAACUUCGUGCCAGCAGCCGCGGUAAUACGAAGGUGGCAAGCGUUGUUCGGAUUUACUGGGCGUAAAGAGCACGUAGGCGGCUCGGCACGUCCGUUGUGAAAUCGCCCGGCUCAACUGGGCGGGGUCAGCGGAUACGGUCGAGCUCGAGCAAGCUAGGGGGCAAUGGAAUUCCCGGUGUAGUGGUGGAAUGCGUAGAUAUCGGGAGGAACACCAGUGGCGAAGGCGGUUGCCUGGGGCUUUGCUGACGCUGAUGCGCGAAAGCGUGGGGAGCGAUCCGGAUUAGAUACCCGGGUAGUCCACGCCGUAAACGAUGCGGACUAGGUGUCGGGGGUAUCGACCCCCUCGGCGCCGCAGCUAACGCAUUAAGUCCGCCGCCUGGGGACUACGGCCGCAAGGCUAAAACUCAAAGGAAUUGACGG
rnacentral:rRNA from 1 species